CUGAAUGGGUGAAUACAGAAGAAAAACUGGAGUAUGGUAGGGGCAGAGGGAAUUUUUGGUUGAGUGUUGAAAUGCGUAAAGAUGAGAAAGAACACCAAUGGCAAAACACUUUGUUGGGCCAACACUGAGAGACACAAGUUAGUGGAGCGAAUGGGAUUAGAUACUCUAGUAGUCCUAAAUGUAAAUGAUGGAUACUAGGCGUUGUAUGUAUCGACUCAUGCAGUAUUCUAGCAAAACCUGAGGUAUUCUG
rfam:Nicotiana attenuata strain TT chromosome 1, whole genome shotgun sequence.